UAUAGCCAGCCACAUGGGGAAGAUGGAAUCAAGACACUUAAAGCAAUAAACCAGGAGAAUUCAGCUGGGAUUGUCCAAAACUUGGACUGAUUCUGUGACUUUCAUACAGAGCUCUUUUGAAAAAAAGGGCAGGUGUAAGUAUCCCCAGCCUCCUAUUUAAUGGGGACCUUCAACAGGUAAUGAAGGUUUGAACAUUUACUGUUCAUUCUCAUUCAUUCACUCAUUCCUUCACGCAUCCAUUCAAAUGUUUGUUGGGCUCCUCCCAUGUAUAUACUGCUAUGAAGAGGACAGGGAUUGGGGUUAAAGGAAAAUUAAACAAAUAUACUUUAUAGCCUAGAGAAGGAAACGGACAUGUUCCAGUUAACUAUAUUACCUGAGAGGCUGUUGCACUGUCAUCUUCAGAAAAGCAGGAACUAUUUUUUUUUUAAAGUUUACUCCACAAUGCAUAUAGUGUAGUUACUAUCACCAAUCCUUACCAAAGCCCUGCAAAGUCAAAGUACAAUUCUACAUAUAUUUCACAGAUGAGGACAUUGAAAACAAGAGAGUUUGCAUAACUAAUUCAGUCUCAUGGCAUGAAUGUAACAAAGGUAGCAUAUGAACUUCAGUGUCUUCUAACAGUGUGCAUAUGUUGUUUCCCUUCUUGAGUGUAAUCAUAAAUUCGAACACAAAAUUCUGUGGAUGUGUGGAAGGAGACUGAAUUCCAAAUGGAGGAAUUAUAAAAAGCUUCAUGGAGGUGCACAUACAACAAAGAUUUGAAGGACAAAGACAGGUCUUAAAGUGGGAGGAAGAGAAAGACAAGUAUCAGCAGAGAAACAGAGUGUGGCCAGGCACAUGACAUGAAAUAACACAGAAAAGUGUCCGAGGGCCCAUGUAGCUAAAUGUGUAGAGUGGAAUGUGAUGCUGAAAUAUUAGGCUAGAGACAAGUGAGUGAAGGCUUUGAAUGUCAAGUUAAGACACUUAAACUUCUAUUCUGUAGGCAAUAAAAGCCAAUGAACAUAUAUGGGUUGUAUUUGUCACUCAUUUAGUCAAUGUAUAUUUACUGAUCAUCUACUAUGUUUAUUAUGUUCAGGCUUUUUGGAAGGCUCAGGGUAUACUAUGGUUAAAAUCAAAGAAGACAAAACCAAGACAGUGGUUCUUAAGUCUAGAAGCAGAGAUAAAUAGCGAGGUAGUAAAACAAACAAACCAAUAAAACCACACACACAUAUUGCACUUAAUAUAGUACUAUGAAGAAAAUGCACAGAGUCCUGUACCUGCAGAUAAUGCAGGCAUGGGAAGGCCUCUCUGAGGAAGAGAUAUGAACUGGGAGUGAACAGUGACUGCAGCAGUACCUAUGAAGAGGGAAGGGUGUCUGGGAAGGGUCCUCAGCUGAGAGACAGAAACUGGAAGAGGGCUGGCGGAGGGUGAUGGGCAAGGGCUAGAUCACCAAGACCUCUGGGCCACCUUAAGGAGUCUGGACUUUCUUGGUGAAUGGGAAGCUACUGAAGAGUUUGAAGCAGGAAAGUGACACCGUCUUAUUUUUAUUUCCAAAGGUCACUGCUGCACUAAAAGAGAAGGCAAGAGUGGAAGCAGGCAGAGUAGCCAGGGACGACUGCCAUGGUCCAGGAGAGGACAAGGGAGACCCCGGCUGUUCAGAGGCAGUAGAGAUGGGAAGACAUAUUUGUGGGAAGAGCCAACAGGACCUGCUGCCAGGUUGGAUGUGGGGCCCAAAGGAAAGGAAGAAGUGAAGGAUGACUCCUUCAUCUUUGGCUUUAGCAGCUGGGUCAGUGGGGUGCCCUGAUCUGGCAUUUGAAAGAAUGAGGCAGUAAGAGCUUCAGGGGAGAGAGUAGGAGGUCAGUUCGGAGCAUGUUGGGUUUGAGCUACAAGACAUUAAGUAUCCAGGUUCUGAAUCAGAAAUGGGAAAAAAAAUCAGAAAAUGGGAAUUGUUUCCGAAUUUUCAGCUCUUUGGGAUUAUUCAUGCUACAAAUUCUUGCUGACUGUGCAGUGUGUUCCAUUCUGCUCAGCUCUCCACCUCUUCUUCUCUGCUCUCAGGGUGUCCCAAGGGCUUUAGGAGAAUGGCAACAACUGAAGGAUCCUCUGUUCUCCUGUCUCAGGGCCUCAGAUCUGGGGCCUUGAGUGUGCACACAAGUGGGAAUCAAGAGACCAACAUGGUUUUCAUCAUUAACUAGCCAUGUGACCUUGGGCCAUUUCCCUUCACUGGGCCUAAUUUCUCUGUGGGUAGAUGUGGUCUCUCGAGUCCUUUUUCAGUUAACAUGGUAUAUUCAAGCAAAGCCUUCAAUACAAUAAGCUUAUGAGAAAUCCCAUCCUCAUUCUUUCAUUCACAAAUAUAUAUGGAGAACUGACCAUGUGCCGUUAUUUUAGACACUUGACAUAUACAGUGAACAAAACUGACAAAGACCUCUGUCUUUAUGGAGUUUAAAUUCUAGCUAUGGAAAACAAGCUGUAGACCUAAUAAUACAUGUGUAAAUUAUAUAGAAUGCUGGAACGUGGUAAGUGCUAUGGAGUAAAGAUAAAGAAUAGGGUAAGGGGAGGGCUGGGGACAAGGAGAAGAUCACAGCAUUAAGUAGAGUUCUCAGAGAGGCCUCCUUGAGAAGGUGGGGUGGGGAUGGGCUUGGGGAGGUGAAGGCGCUGGCCAACAUCAAAGCGGAGUUAAUCCUCCUCAUCUGAAACACAGCCCUGACCAGUCAUUUCACAAUUAGACUCUUGCUAAAUCCAACCCAAUCCCAAACUGGGGAUAAUAAUCAACCUCAGGGAUGAGUCCUCCCUCGUGGGGUCAGGAACACCUCUUUCGUAGCAAUGGCUGUUUUCUGUCUGCAGGUCCAGGUCCUCUUCGCCUCCCAGAGCAGCUUCGGCGGAGACAAGUCUCACACACAUCCUCUCGUCUGGCUUGUGGCCUCCCUUCCCUGCCCUGCUCCUCCCCUGUGGACUCAUCUCUGAAGCCUUCUUCAUACUUCUCACUCCCUGCAACUCUUCUAGAACCCUCAGCAAGUUCAGCUGUCCUAACUGCACUAAAGGGUGCUGAGCUCUGCCCCGCUCCUCAGACAUAAUAUCCCACUUCUCCUUUCCCCUACUUGUGGGCCAUGGCAGCUCUGGUUACCAUCCCUAUUUUGCAGAUAAAAAAUCAGAAGUCACUUGUCUGAUGAGUCACAUCAAGUAUUGGUGCAAGGAGGAUUGAAACCCAUUUGUUCAUUUAUAUAUUCAUAUUAAGUGGUUUCUAUGUGCCAGACACUGUUCUAGGAGCUAGGAUACAACAAAGAGAAAACAGACAUAUCUCUGUCCUCAUAAAGGUCUUUUCUUGCCAUUAUCCUGCUUCCAAAUAAGAAAAUUGAACUCCUACCUGCUCCCUGUUUGGAAACUCCCACCUAGAAUUCAUUUUCUGCUCAUACUCCUGCCCCUCCCAGCAACAGAUGAUCACCAUUAAAGGGGGAAGAUUAAUUGUGCAGAGGGAUAGACCAAGGAAAAGUGAUUUCUCUUUGUGUCGGACAAGUGCAUGACUAAACAGAUGAAUCCUUCUCUGAAGUGCAGUGUGGAGGCUGCCGAUGGAAUUGCAGAGUCCUUUCCCGUUGCAGAGUAGGUAUUUCCUGAGAGGCUCACUUCACGGAGGAGGCUGGAGAUGAAUGCUUACACGGAAAUCGUGGGAAGAGUGUCCAAUUCAUCACAGAAUGAAUUAAAGUUUGGGGGUGAUUUCUCCUGUGACCCUGGUGAGGGGGAUUUGGAGGGUACCCAGACUACAGACAGGAGGAAACGUCCUGGUCCAGGGAGAAUGGCCAAGAUUAUCUCAGGAUUUCAUGAAGAGGAGAAAUGGAGGUCAUUUCCUAGAGAUUAAUGGAGAAUUUGAUUGUGAGAAGAAAAUUGUUUAAGGAGCAGGGGUGGGUUUGGAGGCAAAUGUCACACACUCCAGAAGGUAAAGUGAGCUGGCUCUUCCCCUCUUACUCCUUGGAAAGAGGGAAAGCUCAUCAGAGCCAGGACCCUGGAAAAGCGAUGUGAUGAAGAGAAGGAGGCCCUGAAUAG